rnacentral:rRNA from 1 species
AAACUGAAGAGUUUGAUCAUGGCUCAGAUUGAACGCUGGCGGUAGGCUUAACACAUGCAAGUCGAGCGGUAACAGGUCCUUCGGGAUGCUGACGAGCGGCGGACGGGUGAGUAACGCGUAGGAAUCUACCCAGUAGUGGGGGAUAGCCCGGGGAAACCCGGAUUAAUACCGCAUACGCCCUACGGGGGAAAGCAGGGGAUCUUCGGACCUUGCGCUAUUGGAUGGGCCCAUGUCGGAUUAGCUUGUUGGUGGGGUAAUGGCUCACCAAGGCGACGAUCCGUAGCUGGUCUGAGAGGAUGAUCAGCCACACUGGGACUGAGACACGGCCCAGACU